rnacentral:rRNA from 1 species
UACGUAGGGGGCAAGCGUUGUCCGGAUUUAUUGGGCGUAAAGAGCUCGUAGGUGGUUCGGUAAGUCGGAUGUGAAAUCCCCAGGCUCAACCUGGGAACUGCGCUUGAAACUGCCGGUCUUGAGUGUCGGAGAGGGUGGCGGAAUUCCUGGUGUAGAGGUGAAAUUCGUAGAUAUCAGGAGGAACACCGGUGGCGAAGGCGGGUCUCUGGGCCGAUACUGACGCUGAGGAGCGAAAGCGUGGGGAGCGAACAGG